rnacentral:rRNA from 1 species
UACGAAGGGGGCUGGCGUUGCUCGGAAUCACUGGGCGUAAAGCGCACGUAGGCGGAUCUUUAAGUCGGUGGUGAAAUCCUGGAGCUCAACUCCAGAACUGCCUUCGAUACUGAGGGUCUCGAGUCCGGGAGAGGUGAGUGGAACUGCGAGUGUAGAGGUGAAAUUCGUAGAUAUUCGCAAGAACACCAGUGGCGAAGGCGGCUCACUGGCCCGGUACUGACGCUGAGGUGCGAAAGCGUGGGGAGCAAACAGG